GAUGAACGCUGGCGGCGUGCCUAAUACAUGCAAGUCGAGCGAAUGGAUUAAGAGCUUGCUCUUAUGAAGUUAGCGGCGGACGGGUGAGUAACACGUGGGUAACCUGCCCAUAAGAAUGGGAUAACUACGGGAAACCGGGGCUAAUACCGGAUAACAUUUUGAACCGCAUGGUUCGAAAUUGAAAGGAGGCUUCGGCUGUCACUUAAGGAUGGAACCGCGUCGCAUUAGCUAGUUGGUGAGGUAACGGCUCACCAAGGCAACGAUGCGUAGCCGACGUGAGAGGGUGAUCGGCCACACUGGGACUGAGACACGGCCCAGACUCCUACGGGAGGCAGCAGUAGGGAAUCUUCCGCAAUGGACGAAAGUCUGACGGAGCAACGCCGCGUGAGUGAUGAAGGCUUUCGGGUCGUAAAACUCUGUUGUUAGGGAAGAACAAGUGCUAGUUGAAUAAGCUGGCACCUUGACGGUACCUAACCAGAAAGCCACGGCUAACUACGUGCCAGCAGCCGCAGUAA
rnacentral:rRNA from 1 species